UUGAAUUUUCCAGUCUUGGUGGAAAGGCCGUGAGCUCUCUCGCAGUGCGUCUGUGGGAAGGGAAGAUGAUGACGUCUUUCUCUGCUUCCGUUCCCCUGUGGCCCAGUCACUGCUCCUGAGAGAUUCUAACACCUUUGGUCACCUGGACCCACAUCUUUGGUUGGAACCAGUGGUGUUUUGUAAAGGACUGUGGCAGCUGCCUCUGCAACUUCAAAAGUCAGGAAUGCAUCCAGACACCUUGACCUCCCUUCCACAACUGAAAGCUCCAACGACUUGAAAAGGUGAAGCCAAGAUCGUCAUUAUGAAACUUUUGCCUUUUCUGUGACUGUGUCCUUCCAAAAACCUUCACUGUUCUACGGAAUUCCAUGCUAGUCCAAAUGAAAUAACUGCAAAAUCAUACUUGCGUGAAUGUGCUAUUCCGGUUUGAAUCCUUUCUAGCAACUGACCUUGCUAAUGCGAACAUGUUCAUAUGGUUAAGAUUAAUGAGUCAAUUAUUUUUAUACAAGCUAUCCCUCAUGUAGGCUGUUUUCCUUGACUUGACUAUGUUAAUUAAUAAAAAGCAUUCAAUCCUC